UACGUAGGAUGCAAGCGUUGUCCAGGUUUAUUGGGUUUAAAGGGUGCGUAGGCGGCCUAUUAAGUUAGUGGUGAAACCGUUCGGCUUAACCGGAUACCCGCCAUUGAUACUGAUAGACUUGAGUGCGACAGAGGGUGUUGGAAUGUGUGGUGUAGCGGUGAAAUGCUUAGAUACCACGCAGAACACCAAUUGCGAAGGCAGAUGCCUAUGUCGUAACUGACGCUGAGGCACGAAAGCGUGGGGAGCAAACAGG
rnacentral:rRNA from 1 species